CAGACCUCUACAUGCUUCGUAAGUAGGAAAACCUGCAAAAUCGGCAGUGUAUCAAAUACUUGUUCUCCCCACUGUAUGCUACUGCUGACCAUGCUACAGCUGAUAACAGAGGGUGAAGGUUGAUGGGGUGUGUGAGGGGGGUGUGUCCUCUGCCCCGGGCGCCAGUCCUGUUGAUGGAGGUGGAGGCAGUGAGAGAGACAUGCUUUGCCCUGCUAGGACCUGUGAGGGGGACAGAGGAGGUGGAGGGGUGCAAGCUACCAGGACCUAUGACUCCAUGAUGUCACACAACCCUAACUACCUGCUCAGCCAGCCCCUAGACCAUCCCCCAUCAGAGACCUAGGGUUGCUACGGACGUUGACAAGCUGUGGCAGGGCAGUGUAGCAGAGUUGACCCCCGUGCUCUCAUGCCCUUCUGGCCCUUCCUCCAAACGGAAGUGUACUGACUCCUCCCACCUCCACGUCAGGGUUCCGAUGCCCCUCCCACUCCGCAGGUCUGAGUCCUUCCCCCACAAACUACUAUUGGCCCACUGGACUGAUUGGGGCGGGGCAGACCGCUGCACCCUCAGCCCCUACAUGCUCCGCCUCUCAGGGGCUGGCUUUGCCUACUACACACCGGGGCCAGAGACCUUUGUGUGACACACACUCACACACACGCAGGCUAAUGUGUGUACACACAAACCGAUGUGUUCACAAAAGAUGUGCACUCACACAGAGACCAAUGUGAUCUAAAUUUACAGCUUACCAUGGAUGUGGAAGGAUUUGUAUUCCACUCAUAAACAAUGCAAACACACACACACACACACACAUUUGCAAAAUAAUUCACACAUACUGAAAAACAUAAAACAUCUUCACACAAUUCACCAUGUGCAUAGUCAGCCAUUCAGAUACACCCCUCCCCCAAUCUGCCUCCCACCGGUCCUGUCCAUCCCAUUUCAGUGUGGUCCUGAUCCCAGUCCAGUCCAUUCCAUUUCAGUGUGGUCCUGAUCCCAGUCCUGUCCAUCCCAUUUCAGUGUGGUCCUGAUCCCAGUCCAGUCCAUUCCAUUUCAGUGUGGUCCUGAUCCCAGUCCUGUCCAUCCCAUUUCAGUGUGGUCCUGAUCCCAGUCCUGUCCAUUCCAUUUCAGUGUGGUCCUGAUCCCAGUCCUGUCCAUCCCAUUUCAGUGUGGUCCUGAUCCCAGUCCAGUCCAUUCCAUUUCAGUGUGGUCCUGAUCCCAGUCCUGUCCAUUCCAUUUCAGUGUGGUCCUGAUCCCAGUCCUGUCCAUCCCAUUUCAGUGUGGUCCUGAUCCCAGUCCUGUCCAUUCCAUUUCAGUGUGGUCCUGAUCCCAGUCCAGUCCAUCCCAUUUCAGUGUGGUCCUGAUGCCAGUCCUGUCCAUUCCAUUUCAGUGUGGUCCUGAUCCCAGUCCUGUCCAUCCCAUUUCAGUGUGGUCCUGAUCCCAGUCCAGUCCAUUCCAUUUCAGUGUGGUCCUGAUCCCAGUCCUGUCCAUUCCAUUUCAGUGUGGUCCUGAUCCCAGUCCUGUCCAUUCCAUUUCAGUGUGGUCCUGAUCCCAGUCCUGUCCAUUCCAUUUCAGUGUGGUCCUGAUCCCAGUCCAGUCCAUCCCAUUUCAGAGUGGUCCUGAUCCCAGUCCUGUCCAUUCCAUUUCAGUGUGGUCCUGAUCCCAGUCCUGUCCAUUCCAUUUCAGUGUGGUCCUGAUCCCAGUCCAGUCCACACCUCUACUCUGUUCUGCUACUCUAUAAUCCAUGUUAAAAUACUUGAAUCCAACAUUGACACCAGUGGUGUUAAACGCUGAACACACGGAGGUGUUCAGUGUGUGAAUGUGCGUCCCUUCUACACUAAAGAAUUGUGUAUGAAAAGGACCAGACUUUUCUGUUUCUAUUUUAUUAACUGUCUCUGUCUUCUUCUUUUUCUCUGUCUCUCAAAUAUACUCAUUUUGUUGAAAUAACAGGAGUUGCUUCGCAAAAUGUUCUGGGGAGAAAGACAUCUGUUAUUCACUGUGUGUGUGUGUGUGUGUGUGUGUGUGUGUGUGUGUGUGUGUGUGUGUGUGUGUGUGUGUGUGUGUGUGUGUGUGUGUGUGUGUGUGUGUGUGUGUACAUACAGCUGAAGUCAGAAGUUUACAUACACUUAGCUUGGAGUCAAUAAAACUAUUUUUCAACCACUCCACAAAUUUCUUGUUAACAAACUAUAGUUUUGGCAAGUUGGUUAGGACAUCUACUUUGUGCAUGACACAAGUCAUUUUUCCAACAAUUGUUUACAGACAGAUUAUUUCACUUAUAAUUCACUGUAUCACAAUUCCAGUGGGUUAGAAGUUUUUAUACACUAAGUUGACUGUGCCUUUAAACAGCUUGGAAAAUUCCAGAAAAUGAUGUCAUGGCUUUAGAAGCUUCUGAUAGGCUAAUUGACAUAAUUUGAGUCAAUUGGAGGUGUGACUGUGGAUGUAUUUCAAGGCUUACCUUCAAACUCAGUGCCUCUUUGCUUGACAUCAUGGGAAAAUCAAAAGAAAUCAGCCAAGACCUCGGAAAAAAAUUGUAGACCUCCACAAGUCUGGUUCAUCCUUGGGAGCAAUUUCCAAAUCCCUGAAGGUACCACAUUCAUCUGUAAAAACAAUAGUACGCAAGUAUAAACACCAUGUAACCACGUAGCCAUCAUACCGCUCAGGAAGGAGACGCCUUCUGUCUCCUAGACAUGAACGUACUUUGGUGCGAAAAGUGCAAAUCAAUCCCAGAACAACAGCAAAGGACCUUGUGAAGAUGCUGGAGGAAACAGGUACAAAGUAUCUAUAUCCAUAGUAAAACGAGUCCUAUAUCGGUAUAACCUGAAGGGCCGCUCAGCAAGGAAGAAGCCACUGCUCCAAAACCGUCAUAAAAAAGCCAGAUUACGGUUUGCAACUGCACAUGGGGACAAAGAUCGUACUAUUUUGAGAAAUGUUCUCUGGUCUGAUGAAACAAAAAUGUAACUGUUUGGCCAUAAUGACCAUUGUUAUGUUUGGAGGAAAAAGGGAGAUGCUUGCAAGCCGAAGAACACCAUCCCAACCGUGAAGCACGGGGGUGGCAGCAUCACGUUGUGGGGGUGCUUUGCUGCAGGAGGGACUGGUGCACUUCACAAAAUAGAUGGAAUCAUGAGGUAGGAAAAUUAUGUGGAUAUAUUAAAGCAGCAUCUCAAGACAUCUGUCAGGAAGUUAAAGCUUGGUCGCAAAUGUGUCUUCCAAGUGGACAAUGACCCCAAGCAUACUUCCACAGUUGUGGCAAAAUAGCUUAAGGACAACAAAGUCAAGGUAUUUUAGUGGCCAUCACAAAGCCCUGACCUCAAUCCCAUAGAACAUUUCUGAGCAGAACUGAAACAGCGUGUGUGAGCAAGGAGGCCUACAAACCUGAUUCAGUUACACCUGCUCUGUCAGGAGGAAUGGGCCAAAAUUCACACAACUUAUUGUGGGAAGCUUGUGGAAGGCUACCCAAAACGUUUGACCCAAAUUAAACAAUUUAAAAGCAAUGCUACCAAAUAAUAAUUGAGUGUAUGUAAUCUUCUGACACACUGGGAAUGUGAUGAAAGAAAUAAAAGCUGAAAUUAAUCAUUUUCUCUACUAUUAUUCUGACAUUUCACAUUCUUAAAAUAAAGUGGUGAUCCUAACUAAUUAACUAAUUUUUACUAGGACUAAAUGUCAGGAAUUGUGAAAAACUGAGUUUAAAUGUAUUUGGCUAAGUUGUAUGUAAACUUCCGUCUUCAACUUUAUAUACAAUGUGGCCAUACACCGUAACAGCACUCUGUUUGGGUCAGACCUAUGAGUCAGACCGAUAUCUAUGCCCUGUACACAGACUGAUAGGGCUCCUUCAUGGAUGUUUUAAUGGCUCAUUGUUCAGUGAUGCUUGCAUUAUGCUAUGUUGUCUAAAGACCGUGUUUGUUCCGUUAUUUAAAGGUUCUUGUCCGUACUCUAGAAUGGUAUAUCUUUAUCGCACCAGGUUAUGGCUUUUCAUAUCUGUUUGAUUAUGCACUGAGAUAUUUUACGUGGUAUAUAUUAUGAAUGCAGGUUGUUUACCAUGUAUGGAUGUAACUUAAACUAAUGGAUAUAUGUAUUGGGGGGGCAGUGGUAGGGGUUUGGGAAAUACAUUUUUAAAAAUGAAUGCAAAGACUUGAAUCAAACAGCGCAGUCACAAUCAAAUCCAUCUUUCUAGAAUGUCAUAUGAAUGAUAUGAUUGGUUCGCCACAUGCUCUAUGUAAAUGAUUGUAGAUGAUGUUGAAUUCAUCUAUUUUCCACGUUUCUAACAUGUAAAAGUCUGAGGUGAAACAUCUGCCUUUUUCCAAGCUCAUCUGUGGUUAUAGUGACAUCUGUGGUUAUAGUGACAUCUGUGGUGUUAGUGACAUCUGUGGUGUUAGUGACAUCUGUGGUGUUAGUGACAUCUGUGGUUAAUGACAUCUGUGGUGUUAGUGACAUCUGUGGUGUUAGUGACAUCUGUGGUGUUAGUGACAGCUGUGGUGUUAAUGACAUCUGUGGUGUUAAUGACAUCUGUGGUGUUAGUGACAUCUGUGGUGUUAAUGACAUCUGUGGUGUUAGUGACAUCUGUGGUGUUAGUGACAUCUGUGGUGUUAGUGACAUCUGUGGUGUUAGUGACAUCUGUGGUGUUAGUGACAUCUGUGGUGUUAGUGACAUCUGUGGUGUUAGUGACAGCUGUGGUGUUAAUGACAUCUGUGGUGUUAGUGACAUCUGUGGUGUUUAGUGACAUCUGUGGUGUUUAGUGACAUCUGUGGUGUUAAUGACAUAUGUGGUGUUUAGUGACAUCUGUGGUGUUAGUGACAUCUGUGGUGUUAGUGAGAGACUCUGAAAGUCACUGGAUUCAUAAGCAUAUUUGUAUGUUCAUUGGUCUGCUGAGUGCUGACACAUACAACAAAUAUCUCUAUACAGUAGACAUUGUGUCUCGUGUUGUCUUUGCAACAGGGCACCACUCUGUCGGUUUUGGGGGGUUUAAAGUUCAGUGUUCAGGUUUUAUGUUUGUUUAUGACUAGACCCAUUUGGUUGAGCUUACUGACAUGGAUUCUAAGGGGUUAUCAUGAAUGUUAUAUAUCAGACCAAUGGAGGCUGCUGAGGGGAGGAUGGCUCGUAAUAAUGGCUGGAAUUGAGUGAAAGGAAUGGUACCAAAAAAAUGUGCUUGAUACUAUUCCAUUUACUCCGUUCCAGACAUUAUGAGCCAUCCUCCCAUCAGCAGCCUCCAUUGUAUCAGACCCACUGUAAAGAGGACUUCAUGAUGAUUUGACACAGUAACACAAACAGUGAAAACUCUCCCCAUAAGCAGCAGUCUGAAUUUGUCCCAGCUACACUGUAUUUAAUGACAAAAACAUCAGACAAUGAAUGCAUGACUUCCAACGGACAUGACAUAGGCUGUGUUUUCACAGCCAGCCCAAUUCUGAUCAUUUUUCCACAAAUUGGUCUUUUGACCAAUCACAUCAGAUCUUUUCACAUCAGAUCUGAUGUGAUUGGUCAAAAGACCAAUUCGUGGGAAAAUUAUCAGAAUUGGGCUGGUGUUUUGAUGUUUUUGUCAUUACAAAAGGCUGGUCUCAAUACAGUGUAGCUGGGCCAAAUUCAGACUGCUGCUUAUGGGGAGAGUUUUCACUGUUUGUGUUACUGUGUCAAAUCAUUGGAUGGGAGGUCAAAUCAUGUCACAUUAUUCUGAUUCUGAUUCUGAUUAUUGUUAUCUUAUCAAUUUGAUUGAAAAUACACAUUAUUUUUGUUGAUUUUUCUUUUGCUAGUGUUUGAUCCAGGGGAGAAGACUUUAUUUCAACUCUUAUGUAUUUAUCAUUUUGCUUUUGGUUUUUGUAACAACCCAAAUGAAAAGGUAUUUCCACAGAAUAAACCCUCUGAAGACGUUUAGAUGAUAGUGACUCCCACUUUCUGCUACUGUAAGUGACCUGAUUCAUGUAAGUGACCUGACCAUGAGUAGGCUAGUCACCCACAGAGAUUAUAUUUGUAUGUAGUCACCCACAGAGAUUAUAUUUGUAUGUAGUCACCCACAGAGAUUAUAUUUGUAUGUAGUCACCCACAGAGAUUAUAUUUGUAUGUAGUCACCCACAGAGAUUAUAUUUCUAUGUAGUCACCCAC
ensembl:lncRNA